rnacentral:rRNA from 1 species
UACGAAGGGGGCGAGCGUUGUUCGGAUUUACUGGGCGUAAAGCGCGUGUAGGCGGUCCGGUAAGUCCGCUGUGAAAGUCGGGGGCUCAACCCUCGGAUGCCGGUGGAUACUGUCGGGCUUGAGUACGGAAGAGGCGAGUGGAAUUCCUGGUGUAGCGGUGAAAUGCGUAGAGAUCAGCAGGAACACCCGUGGCGAAGGCGGCCCCCUGGGCCGAACCUGACGCUGAGGCGCGAAGGCUAGGGGAGCGAACGGG